UUUUCCAAACAGCUAGCUCGCCCACCCAAAACAACAAAACCACAUCAAUAAACCCACAUAUCCAUAACAAACUAAACAAAGCAUUUUUCCGUCUUAGUAUAGGAGAUAGAAAAG
rnacentral:rRNA from 1 species